GGUCUUAUAUUUAAAAUAUAAUAUUAAAUUGCAAGUUUAAAGGUGAAUUAAAUUCUAAGGCUU
rnacentral:tRNA from 1 species